rnacentral:rRNA from 1 species
CCUACGGGCGGCAGCAGUGAGGAAUAUUGGUCAAUGGGCGGAAGCCUGAACCAGCCAAGUCGCGUGCGGGAAGACGGCCCUACGGAUCGUAAACCUCUUUUGUCCGGGAGUAAAACACUCCACUUGUGGCGUUCUGAAGGUACCCGACGAAUAAGCACCGGCUAACUCCGUGCCAGCAGCCGCGGUAAUACGGAGGAUGCGAGCGUUAUCCGGAUUUAUUGGGUUUAAAGGGUGCGCAGGCGGACGAUCAAGUCAGCGGUAAAAUUGAGGGGCUCAACCUCGUCGAGCAGUUGACACUGGUUGUCUUGAGUGAACGAGAAGCAGGCGGAAUGCGUGGUGUAGCGGUGAAAUGCAUAGAUAUCACGAAGAACCCCGAUUGCGAAGGCAGCAUACCGGCGUUCAACUGACGCUGAUGCACGAAGGUGUGGGUAUCGAACAGGAUUAGAUACCCGUGUAGUC